GACGAACCGUGCGAACGUUGUUCGGAAUCACUGGGCUUAAAGGGCGCGUAGGCGGGCUGCCAAGUCCGGGGUGAAAUCCUCCCGCUUAACGGGAGAACGGCCUGGGAUACUGGCGGCCUCGAGGGGGGUAGGGGCAUGCGGAACUCUGGGUGGAGCGGUGAAAUGCGUUGAUAUCCAGAGGAACUCCGGUGGCGAAGGCGGCGUGCUGGACCCCAUCUGACGCUGAGGCGCGAAAGCCAGGGGAGCGAACGGG
rnacentral:rRNA from 1 species